GGACCCUCUCCUCUGCAGGGCCACAUCCCACGUUAACCCUGAGGAGACCAGAGAGACACAAUCACGGAAAUGAAGAUAUAGACAGUGCUUGCGAUUGGAUUCCAUCUCUGCUUCGUUCUUGCCGUAUCAUAACAGAAGACAAGACGCAUGGUGGUGAUUUCUCCGCUCUUUAAUCACCUUGGAGAUGAGUUCGUCGUGGUUGGCGAGGUGUGCUCUGCAGUGGAUGCAGCUGUA